UCCUCCGUGGCGCAAUUGGCUAGCGCGUCUGACUGUUACGUCGGUAGCGACGAGGCGAUCAGGAGGUUCGUGGUUCGAGCCCACGCGGGGGAG